rnacentral:tRNA from 1 species
GGGACCGUGGUGUAGGGGUAAGCGUGGUUGCCUCCCACCCAGUCGGCUUGGGUUCGAUCCCAAACACGGUCCCG